AUAGAACUGUGCAAUUCAGUUUAAUUUGAUAUUUUAAUUCUUACUUUUAUUAUAAUAUUUUUAUUUGAGAAAUAUC
rnacentral:tRNA from 1 species